rnacentral:lncRNA from 1 species
CUGUAGUGUUUUCUAGAGGACUGGAAAAUACUGUGCUACCUCCUGGCUUCUCUGGGUGUGGCUUCCUGACAAGAUAGUACUGAUUGGAAAACCUGUGUUGGCAAUAAACCCCAGACUCAAUUUGUCAGUGCAGAAAUGACGCACUCAGACACCAAGAAAUCUCGACAAGAGCUGAAGACACUGGCACAAAGAGGUUAAGAAGUCUACCUGGUGUCACAUAGACAAGAAACAGUGGAGCCAGAACAGGAAAGUGGAUCUCUGGGCACCUGACACCCAAAGGGAAGAGAAAAAAAGCCACUGUGGACACUUGGUCAUCUGCAGAAUCAGAGAAUUGGUGUUGGGAAAGACACCGCUUAUUUGGUGUUGGGAGGAAAACAAGCCUCUCACCUGGAGAACAAACUCCUAAGGGACAAGAGCAAACUAGAUAUAGAAGGAGCCACACUGGAGCUGAAGUCCUGGAUAGGAGUAAGUCAUGAGUUCCUAUUCCAUUGAUUAUGGGAAGAAAGAGUGAGCUCUCUAGGACAAACCUAACCUAUUGUGUGGGAAGUCAGGCAUUGGGG